AGUAGAUACCCGGGUAGUCCACGCCGUAAACGAUGAGUGCUAAGUGUUAGAGGGUUUCCGCCCUUUAGUGCUGAAGUUAACGCAUUAAGCACUCCGCCUGGGGAGUACGGCCGCAAGGCUGAAACUCAAAGGAAUUGACGGGGGCCCGCACAAGCGGUGGAGCAUGUGGUUUAAUUCGAAGCAACGCGAAGAACCUUACCAGGUCUUGACAUCCUCUGACAACCCUAGAGAUAGGGCUUCUCCUUCGGGAGCAGAGUGACAGGUGGUGCAUGGUUGUCGUCAGCUCGUGUCGUGAGAUGUUGGGUUAAGUCCCGCAACGAGCGCAACCCUUGAUCUUAGUUGCCAUCAUUCAGUUGGGCACUCUAAGGUGACUGCCGGUGACAAACCGGAGGAAGGUGGGGAUGACGUCAAAUCAUCAUGCCCCUUAUGACCUGGGCUACACACGUGCUACAAUGGACGGUACAAAGAGCUGCAAGACCGCGAGGUGGAGCUAAUCUCAUAAAACCGUUCUCAGUUCGGA
rnacentral:rRNA from 1 species